rnacentral:rRNA from 1 species
ACGCUGGCGGCACGCCUAACACAUGCAAGUCGAACGAAGUAGCAAUACUUAGUGGCAGACGGGUGAGUAACAUGUAGGUAUCUGCCCUUUGGCCUGGAAUAACACGAGGAAACUUGUGCUAAUACCGGAUAAGUCUUUACAGAGAAAGCUUUAUGCACCAUUGGAUGAGCCUGCACUUGAUUAGUUUGUUGGUGGGGUAAUGGCCUACCAAGACUUUGAUCAAUAGCUGAUUUGAGAGGAUGAUCAGCCACAUUGGGACUGAGACACGGCCCAAACUCCUACGGGAGGCAGCAGUGGGGAAUCUUGCACAAUGGAGGAAACUCUGAUGCAGCGAUGCCGCGUGAGUGAAGAAGGCCCUUGGGUUGUAAAGCUCUUUCGUCGGGGAAGAAAAUGACUGUACCCGAAUAAGAAGGUCCGGCUAACUUCGUGCCAGCAGCCGCGGUAAUACGAAGGGACCUAGCGUAGUUCGGAAUUACUGGGCUUAAAGAGUUCGUAGGUGGUUGAAAAAGUUGGUGGUGAAAUCCCAGAGCUUAACUCUGGAACUGCCAUCAAAACUUUUCAGCUAGAGUAUGAUAGAGGAAAGCAGAAUUUCUAGUGUAGAGGUGAAAUUCGUAGAUAUUAGAAAGAAUACCAAUUGCGAAGGCAGCUUUCUGGAUCAUUACUGACACUGAGGAACGAAAGCAUGGGUAGCGAAGAGGAUUAGAUACCCUCGUAGUCCAUGCCGUAAACGAUGUGUGUUAGACGUUGGAAAUUUAUUUUCAGUGUCGCAGCGAAAGCGAUAAACACACCGCCUGGGGAGUACGACCGCAAGGUUAAAACUCAAAUGAAUUGACGGGGACCCGCACAAGUAGUGGAGCAUGUGGUUUAAUUCGAAGAUACGCGCAGAACCUUACCAACACUUGACAUGUUCGUCGCGACUUUAAGAGAUUAAAGUUUUCGGUUCGGCCGGACGAAACACAGGUGCUGCAUGGCUGUCGUCAGCUCGUGUCGUGAGAUGUUGGGUUAAGUCCCGCAACGAGCGCAACCCUCACUUUUAGUUGCCAUCAUUAAGUUGGGCACUCUGAAAGAACUGCCAGUGAUAAGCUGGAGGAAGGUGGGGAUGACGUCAAGUCCUCAUGGCCCUUACGUGUUGGGCUACACACGUGCUACAAUGGUAUCUACAACAGGAAGCAAGACGGCGACGUUUAGCAAAUCCCUAAAAGAUACCUCAGUUCGGAUUGCACUCUGCAACUCGAGUGCAUGAAGCUGGAAUUACUAGUAAUCGUGGAUCAGCGUGCCACGGUGAAUGCGUUCCCGGGUCUUGUACACACCGCCCGUC